rnacentral:rRNA from 1 species
UACGUAGGGGGCAAGCGUUGUCCGGAAUCAUUGGGCGUAAAGAGCGCGUAGGCGGCCCGGUAAGUCCGCUGUAAAAGUCAAAGGCUCAACCUUUGAAGGUCAGUGGAUACUGCCGGGCUAGAGUCCGGAAGAGGCGAGUGGAACUCCUGGUGUAGCGGUGGAAUGCGCAGAUAUCAGGAAGAACACCAACGGCGAAGGCAGCUCGCUAGGACGGAACGACGCUGAGGCGCGAAAGCGUGGGGAGCAAACAGG